rnacentral:rRNA from 1 species
CCUACGGGCGGCAGCAGUGAGGAAUAUUGGUCAAUGGGCGCGAGCCUGAACCAGCCAAGUAGCGUGAAGGAUGACUGCCCUACGGGUUGUAAACUUCUUUUAUAAAGGAAUAAAGUGAGGCACGUGUGCCUUUUUGUAUGUACUUUAUGAAUAAGGAUCGGCUAACUCCGUGCCAACAACCGCGGUAAUACGGAGGCUCCGAACGUUAUCCGGAUUUAUUGGUUUUAAAGGGAGCGUAGAUGGGUUGUUAAGUAAGUUGUGAAAGUUUGCGGAUCAACCGUAAAAUUGCAAUUGUUACUGGCAGUCUUGAGUACAGUUGAGGUAGGCGGAAUUCGUGGUGUAGCGGUGAAAUGCUUAGAUAUCACGAAGAACUCCGAUUGCGAAGGCAGCUUACUAAACUGCCACUGACAUUGAUGCUCGAAAGUGUGGGUAUCAAACAGGAUUAGAUACCCGGGUAGUC